UACACCUGGGAGAGCUUGAUUAUGGUCGGGAUGAACGCUGGCGGCGUGCUUAACACAUGCAAGUCGAACGGUGAACACGGAGCUUGCUCUGUGGGAUCAGUGGCGAACGGGUGAGCAACACGUGAGCAACCUGCCCCGACUCUGGAUAAAGCGCUGGAAACGGCGUCUAAUACUGGAUAUGUGACGUGAUCGCAUGGUCUGCGUCUGGAAAGAAUUUCGGUUGGGGAUGGGCUCGCGGCCUAUCAGCUUGUUGGUGAGGUAAUGGCUCACCAAGGCGUCGACGGGUAGCCGGCCUGAGAGGGUGACCGGCCACACUGGGACUGAGACACGGCCCAGACUCCUACGGAGGCAGCAGUGGGGAAUAUUGCACAAUGGGCGCAAGCCUGAUGCAGCAACGCCAUGUGAGGGACGACGGCCUUCGGGUUGUGGAACUUUUUAGCAGGGAAGAAGCGAAAGUGACGGUACCUGCAGAAAAAGCGCCGGCUAACUACGUGCCAGCAGCCGCGGUAAUACGUAGGGCAAGCGUUAUCCGGAAUUCGGGCGUAAAGAGCUCGUAGGCGGUUUGUCGCGUCUGCUGUGAAAUCCGGAGGCUCAACCUCCGGCCUGCAGUGGGUACGGGCAGACUAGAGUGGUUAGAGGGAGGUAAAUUCCGCGUAGCAGUGAAAUGCGUAGAUAUGCGGAGGAACACCGGGAUGGCGAAGGCAGCUUCCUGGGAUAACACUGACGCUCAUGCACGAAAGCGUGGGGAGCAAACAGGAUUAGAUACCCUGUAGUCCACGCCCUAAACGAUGUCAACUAGCUGUUGGGGCCUUCGGGCUCGGUAGCGCAGCUAACGCGUGAAGUUGACCGCCUGGGGAGUACGGCCUGCAAGAUUAAAACUCAAAGGAAUUGACGGGGACCCGCACAAGCGGUGGAUGAUGUGGAUUAAUUCGAUGCAACGCGAAAAACCUUACCUACCCUUGACAUGUCUGGAAUCCCGAAGAGAUUUGGGAGUGCUCGCAAGAGAACCGGAACACAGGUGUUGCAUGGCUGUCGUCAGCUCGUGUCGUGAGAUGUUGGGUUAAGUCCCGGUAACGAGCAACCCUUGUCAUUAGUUACAUGAAAGGGCACUCUAAUGAGACUGCCGGUGACAAACCGGAGGAAGGUGGGAUGACGUCAAGUCCUCAUGGCUCCUAUGGGUAGGGCUUCACACGUCAUACAAUGGUCGGGACAGAGGGUCGCCAACCCGCGAGGGGGAGCCAAUCCCAGAAACCCGAUCGUAGUCCGGAUCGCAGUCGCAACUCGACUGCGUGAAGUCGGAAUCGCUAGUAAUCGCGGAUCAGCAUGUCGCGGUGAAUACGUUCCCGGGUCUUGUACACACCGCCCGUCACACCAUGGGAGUGGGUUUACCAGAAGUAGUUAGCCUAACCGUAAGGAGGGCGAUUACCACGGUAGGAUUCAUGACUGGGGUGAAGUCGUAACAAGGUAAC
rnacentral:rRNA from 1 species